AACCCGGGCCCCUAUGACUCCCAGGCCCGUGCUCUCUCUACUAAGCCACACCACUUCUCCAGGUCGGCGGGGAGCACAGGAAUCGUACUUCAGAGGGGAAGCAACAUUUCCCAAUUUCCUCUUGGAUUUAAAGAGUCGGCAAAAGGGACAGACAAGCAGAAACGUUGGAAAGGCCCUUCAUCUAAACCAUCCCAGCCUGAAGGAUAAACUAGGUGGAGGCCGGUCCCAGACCAGUGACUGCUUGAGGCCGGAGGAGAUCCCAAGCUGCUGGAUCGCCCGGACCAACCCCGUCAGGUGUGGAAACUGAGGCACAAAAAAGCGAAGUCACUCGUCCAAAGACGCAGAGCCGGCGAGUGGCGGAGCCCGGAUUAGAACCCAGGUCCUGGGACUCUCAAGCCCGUGCUCUUUCCACCAGGCGACACUGCCAACUUACCCGGCCCAUGACACAGCACCUGUCGGACGGCUCUUGGGAGCCAAUGUAAAAUUCCGCUUGUUUUACCCGAGUCCACGGAGUCAAAGCCAGUCUUCCUCUGGGUUGUCGAACAGAUGGAGUUUGAUCACACCGAGUCCGUGUGGAGAGGUGAGUGACUGAGGACCACUUAACCACUGGAGUCUGUUCCGGGGAAAGAGCAAGAUAGAUCAAAGGCUCCGAGAUGAUUCAAUCUUCCUUGGCAAAAAGGAGCCAUAGGAGAACAUGGUGGUAUUUAAUUAUCUCAAAAUGAAGUGCUUCUAUUGAAACAUCCAGGGACGUCUUGAUUCCGACUCCCCACAGUUCGAAACAAGCCUCGAGCUUUGCACGCGAACUUACCAAGCCGGACCGAUCGCAGAGCCGAAAUGCCGUCCGCAGCUAUUUUCCUGAGGCAAGAUCCCGGAGGCUCGUCCAGUAAAAGAGCACCUCUCCGAAUACGACGAUGCCCGAGUCCUAGACCCGGUUCCGCCUGCCAGGCUUAUACAUCUUGGGCGUUGAUUCCGCGGGGUGGGGCCCAACAGGGGUCCUGGGAAGGAGCCAGCUGAGACGCGGGCGGCGAAGGCCACGGUGGCUACCAAGUCAACUGCUUUCCGGGUCACGACACCGUGGCACCGCACUGACUGUAUAGUGCGGUCACUUUGGCUGCGGUGGUUUCCCGAAACCAAAGGGAAAAAAAAAAAAGCUGCACACAUUUCACACUGUCCCACCCUCCUGCCAGCUCCUCAUUCAUUGUACUCCGUGUCUCGGCGGGAACACGACUAAUGGGGAUAAGAGUAUGAGUAGGCAAGUCACCGGCCCUGUAAUCGAUUCCUCUGUACGGAUUCCCAUUCCUGAGGUUGAGAGGCAGCGUGGCCGAGUGGAAAGAGUGCUGGGAGUCAAAAGACCU